CAAAAAUACUAUAAAAUGGGCUGUGCUCUAAUGAAACAAGAAAGAAUAUAUGAAGAUCAAGCUUCUCUUCAUACUUUACUGGCAGCUCAGACACACUUUUCUUUGGAAGAUGUCAAGUCUUUAACUGAACUCUUCAGAAAAUUAAGCUGUUCUAUUUGCAAUGAUCGCUUUAUUAGCAGAGAAGAAUUCCAGCUUGGAUUAUUCAGAGAUAACAGAAAGAAAUCUCUGUUUUCAGACAGGGUGAGCUAACUUCUGCUUAGCUCUAUACUUUAGUGGGGCACAUAUUACGAUGGCGAAUUCAGGAUCUAGAGUUAGUAGAUCUCUUAAAAAGGUGAUCUUGUUCUAUUUUUUUUUAUUCUUUAUGUAUAUAUAUUUGAACCAAAAGUAAUUAAGAGGUCCAGUUGAAUUUGUAGAACCUGUCUUAGAAUGCGCCUCCGUGUUGCAACGACAAUCAUUCUUCCCGUACAUACGGACAUUUUCUUGAGCCUUCUUCAUCACAUUAUACUUUAGCGGGCACAUAUUAUAGUACGCUAGAGGCCAAUUCAGGAUCUAGAGUCAGUAGGUCCCGGUAGAACAUUAUCUUAUUAUAUAUAUAUAUAUAUAUAUAUAUAUUAUGCAUACAUUAUUCGAACAAAAAUUAGUGAGUUCAGUUGAAUAUGGAGAACUUCCAUUAGAUCCGCCUAUGUGUGCUGCAACGGCAGACAUUCUUCUGUAUGUACACUUUCUUAAACCUUCUAGCGUUAUACUUUAGUGGGCACAUAUUAUGAUACAACAUAGGCGAAUCCAGGAUUUAGAGUAAGUGAUUUUCGAAUUAACGUGAUCUUAUUAUAUUUUUGUUUAUGUAAUAAUUCCAACCAAAAGUAAAGAGUCAGGUUGAAUCUAUAGAACCUGUCUUAGAUCCGCUUUUCCGCUGCAACGACAGUCAUAUGUACUUUUUCUUAAGCAGACUGCCUAGCUCUAUAUUUUAGCAGGCACGUAUUGCGGUAUAAUAUAAGCGAAUUUAGGAUCUAGAGUCAAUUGCUUCAGAUUAAUGAAUGAGUUUGUAUUAUAUAGCAUGUUUUAGUUUUUAUUGUUUUGCAUAUAUAUAUAUACACACACAUAACUCAAACAAAAAGCAAUGAGUUCAAUUAAAUCUAUAAAACCUGCCUUAGAUCCGCCUUUGUAUGUUUUCUUAAGCCUUGUUGGUUUACCAGUAGUGUGUGUUAUACAUAUAGAUGUUCAAUUUGUUUGACUCCAACAAUGAUGGGCUAAUAGACUUUGGAGAAUUUAUCCGUACACUAAGCAUCUUCCAUCCUGAUGCUUCUCAAGCAGAAAAAAUUGCUGGUAAGGAAAAUAUUUUCCGAAAACCGUUAUAUUCUGAUAUUUGGCUGUAACAAUGUAUUUUACGGUAACAAUGUUUCCCACCAAAAAGGGAAAAAUGACUUCCCUUAUUAUCAAUCUUUAAUAAGUACUUAAAAGUUUCAUCGUCAAACACUAUCCAAUUUGCUAGUAUUAUUAUCAAUCUAUAGCCAAUGGUUUUUUCAGGAAAUAUUUUCCUUUCUCCAACCAAAACCAUUAAACCGAAAAAUAAGUCAUUUUUUCGAAUCUUUUUAAAAAUAACUCUUGUCGUACGAAGCACACUAUAUUUACAAGUGUUGCAUUGAGAUUGUGAUUUUUCAUGAUGCAGCUGCAUUUAAACUAUAUGACAUAUGGCAAACUGGUUUUAUUGGACGUGAAGAGGUAAAGGAGCUGAUUUUUGGGCUAUUAUAUGAGUCAGAAUUGAUACUCACUGAUGAUAUAGUUGAAGCUAUUAUCGACAAGGUACGUUUUUAUUACGAAUUUAAGUUAUAUACACCGACAAUAUAAGAUUUUUCUACAUUAUCACGUCAAUCUAAUCGGUGAUAGCAAGUUACUUUUCUAUUGUUUAGGUUACCGAGUAAGUUUUGCUAUAAAGAGUAACCUAUUAUCACAAUUGAAGAGGCAGAUUCUAAAGGGGAUGGAAAGAUAGAUAUAGAAGAGUGGAAUAAUUUUGUAGCUCAAAAUCCAUCUUUAUUGAAGAACAUGACAAUUCCAUAUCUGAAGGAUAUCACAGCCGCAUUUCC